GUUUGAUCCUGGCUCAGAUUGAACGCUGGCGGCAUGCCUUACACAUGCAAGUCGAACGGCAGCGCGGGGCAACCUGGCGGCGAGUGGCGAACGGGUGAGUAAUAUAUCGGAACAUACCCUAGAGUGGGGGAUAACGUAGCGAAAGUUACGCUAAUACCGCAUACGCACUAAGGUGGAAAGUGGGGGAUCGCAAGACCUCAUGCUCAUGGAGUGGCCGAUAUCUGAUUAGCUAGUUGGUGAGGUAAAGGCUCACCAAGGCGACGAUCAGUAGCUGGUCUGAGAGGACGACCAGCCACACUGGAACUGAGACACGGUCCAGACUCCUACGGGAGGCAGCAGUGGGGAAUUUUGGACAAUGGGGGCAACCCUGAUCCAGCAAUGCCGCGUGAGUGAAGAAGGCCUUCGGGUUGUAAAGCUCUUUUGUCAGGGAAGAAACGGUGAUCUCUAAUAUAGAUUGCUAAUGACGGUACCUGAAGAAUAAGCACCGGCUAACUACGUGCCAGCAGCCGCGGUAAUACGUAGGGUGCAAGCGUUAAUCGGAAUUACUGGGCGUAAAGCGUGCGCAGGCGGUUAUAUAAGUCAGAUGUGAAAUCCCCGGGCUCAACCUGGGAACUGCAUUUGAGACUGUAUGGCUAGAGUGUGUCAGAGGGGGGUAGAAUUCCACGUGUAGCAGUGAAAUGCGUAGAUAUGUGGAGGAAUACCGAUGGCGAACGCAGCCCCCUGGGAUAACACUGACGCUCAUGCACGAAAGCGUGGGGAGCAAACAGGAUUAGAUACCCUGGUAGUCCACGCCCUAAACGAUGUCUACUAGUUGUCGGGUCUUAAUUGACUUGGUAACGCAGCUAACGCGUGAAGUAGACCGCCUGGGGGAGUACGGUCGCAAGAUUAAAACUCAAAGGAAUUGACGG
rnacentral:rRNA from 1 species